CUCAGGGGUUCUUGCUCACUCCCAGGACCUGUUCACGCGUGUCCACAAUUUGGUCCCCCUUGUGCCUGAAAACCUUCCAGGAGGACGCUCGCCUUCCACUGUCCACAGCCCCCAGGUGGGAAGGCCUUUUGGGGGCGGUCAGGCCACCUGCAGGAACAGAGUUCGAACCUUGUUCUAGAACGCGUCAUGGAAGUCAGCCUCCCUCCCCACCCUGGUUUCAGAUGUAGAAACUGAAACCCAGCUUGGGGACCGCCUUCCUGAGGACACAACGCUGGGUAAGGCUGGGCUUGGCCCUGCUGGGGAAAAGGGGUCAGGGUGGGAUCUGGGGAGCAGGAAGCUGUCCACUGUAGGAAGAGGGGAGGGGAAGACCCAGAGAAAGCCCCGGCUCCUGGCCGCUCCCCAGCCCAGCCCAGCCUCAGCCCCAGGCGGGUCCAAGGGAGACAUUCCCCUCUCUGUUCCAGAAGAGUGUGUGAUGUCACGCCAGCCUCAGGGGAGGGUGCCGGCAGUCUUGCCCGGGCCACCAGCAACAGUGGCUCUCGAGGAAGGACCCGGAAGUUGGCCCGCAAAGCUGGCCCCAACCCACUCUGAUCUGUGGUCCCCUCCAUGGUUGCAGGAAGAGUGGUCUCUUUUGUCUUGGCUUACGAUCGUCCAGUCGGGCUGGACGUGGUGCCACACGCCUGUAACCCCAGCUACCUGGGAGGCUGAGGAAGGAGAAUCACUUGAACCCAGGAGACGGAGGUUGCAGUGAGCCAAGAUCACGCCAUUGCACUGCAGCCUGGGUGACAGAACAAGACUACGUCUCAAAAAAAGAAAAAAGAAAGAAAAAAAAGAAAAUAGUUCUGCUGUGAAAAUGACUGUUUGCAUUACCAAGAAGAGAUUUCAAAGUUAUCUUAAAAUGUUCCUGUUCCCAAGAAGCAGUAUAUAGUAAUAAAGACAUAUAUUCACCAAGAAUAACAUGUCCAGAAAGACAAGUUCUUAAAAACAGAAUGAGUGACAGUGGGCACACCAUGAGACUUAGUCACCUCCAAGAAGGACCUGGGUAGGAAAGGAGGGGCUGGGAGGGAAACUGCACCCCUUCAUUCCCACCCCACCCCAGCAAUUCCAGGCACAAACAGUUGAGCUCUGAGACAGAUGAAAGCUUUUCAGUUCUCAGAAGUCCAAAGGGCUGACCCACUUUGCCGGUUUGCAUGGUUUGCCUGGAGUGGCAUUAAGGCCGGCUUCUUUACAGUGUGUCUGAAAUACAAU
rnacentral:lncRNA from 1 species